rnacentral:rRNA from 1 species
AUUGAACGCUGGCGGCAUGCCUUACACAUGCAAGUCGAACGGCAGCACGGGGCAACCUGGUGGCGAGUGGCGAACGGGUGAGUAAUGCAUCGGAACGUACCUUUCAGUGGGGGAUAACGUAGCGAACGUUACGCUAAUACCGCAUAUUCUGUGAGCAGGAAAGCAGGGGAGCGCAAGACCUUGCGCUGAUUGAGCUGCCGAGGUCAGGUUAGCUAGUUGGUGAGGUAAAGGCUCACCAAGGCGACGAGCUGUAGCGGGUCUGAGAGGAUGAUCCGCCACACUGGAACUGAGACACGGUCCAGACUCCUACGGGAGGCAGCAGUGGGGAAUUUUGGACAAUGGGGGCAACCCUGAUCCAGCCAUGCCGCGUGAGUGAAGAAGGCCUUCGGGUUGUAAAGCUCUUUCGGCCGGGAAGAAAUCGCACGGGCUAAUACCCUGUGUGGAUGACGUUACCGGAAUAAGAAGCACCGGCUAACUACGUGCCAGCAGCCGCGGUAACAC